UAUCAGCCACAGUAAAUAUAAAGGUUUUUUCUCAAUUUUGUUCUGUAAACAUAUGAUUGCUGCAUCCUGCAGGAAUUGAAAUUAGGCAUCCCGGGCUUGGGAAUUUUUUUGAAACAAUAAAAGGCUUCUCAGGCUUUGUCUUUUUAUGAGGAUGCUUUGCAUCCUGCUCAAAUGCCUUGUAAUGUAAUCUCAAGACACAGCUGUUGUUUCAGAAAGUUCAUUCAUGUCGGCAGCAAUUAAAAAGUCCUUUGUUUUCUAAACAUGCUUCCCUGGCUUGCCUUGAAGUGCUUUGCAAACAAUGAUUCCUGCAGCUUGAGGAAAGGAAUCUUUAUUGUGUGUGGCAGAAAGGGUGUGCCACAUUCAUUUCAGUCUUGUUCCAUGAUUUACAGCAGGUACACUUGUGCAUCUUCCUGACAAUGAAGUUUUAAAUAUAGAAAACCCUCAGUCAUCACUUUGCCACUUUAAGAUAUGACCUCUUGUAGCAAUGAGUUAGAGCAUGCAUAGCAGAUGGGAUGAAAAUCAGACCAUGCUCUUGGAAUUGCUAUGUUACCCUGUUUUCUUUUUUAUCUUUUAUAUAUCAAAAUGGAUGCAUCCUUGGGACUUGUGCCUUAAUAGCCUGUUUUACCCUCUCAGAUUUUAUUUAUUUAUUCAUGAGAGACAUAGAGAGAGAGGCAGAGGGAGAAGCAGACUCCCAAGGAGCAGGGAGCCCGAUGCGGGACUCGAUCCCAGGACCCUGGUAUCAUGACCUGAGCCGAAGGCAGACGCUUAACCAUCUGAGCCACCCAGGUGCCCUUCAUUGUCGUUUUUUAAGACAUUACUACUGUGGCCAGUUGGACCUUCAGAAACCACCAGCCUGACCACUCAGCAGCCAUCCACAUCGAGCCAAGACCCUCCACCAGCAAAAAGAUUAUGACUUGCUGAAAGCUCAGAUGAUGGUUAGCAUUUUUUAGCAAUAAAGUAUUUUUUUAAUGAA